CAUGUCUUUUUGAGUUAUUUUAAAAGUCUGACCUGCCCACUGAAAUUAUUUAAAUGGCCGCAGUAUUCUAACUGUGCAAAGGUAGCAUAAUCAUUAGUCUUUUAAUUGAAGGCUGGUAUGAACGGUUGGACGAGGUAUAAGCUGUUUCAUAUAAAUUUAUAAUAGAAUUUUAUAUUUUAGUCAAAAAGCUAAAAUUUAAUUAAAAGACGAGAAGACCCUAUAAAUCUUUAUACUUUAAGUUGUUUAAAUUUUUUAGAUUAAUUUUAUUUUUAUAAUUUAGAGUAUUUUGUUGGGGUGAUAUUAAAAUUUAAUGAACUUUUAGUUGUUAAAAAUCAUUAAUUUAUGAGUUAUUGAUCCAUUAAUAGUGAUUAUAAGAUUAAGUUACUUUAGGGAUAACAGCGUAAUUUUUUUGGAGAGUUCAUAUCGAUAAAAAAGUUUGCGACCUCGAUGUUGGAUUAAGAUAUAUUUUAGGUGUAGCCGCUUAAAUAUUA
rnacentral:rRNA from 1 species